CAUCAUCAGUGUCCCAGCCAGGCAGAAGGGAGGAAUCAUCCUGGCAUGUUCUGCAACCAGCGGAGGCCCUGAGAAAGCAUGUUGAACUGACUGGAACCGUUGGCAGGGCAGAGUCCCUGGGGCACCAGCCUCUUCUCUCCCGAAUUUAUCUGCCCUAUCGAAGAAGGCAAACUACAAGACUAAGGGGAGAACAGGAAGAAGAAGGCGUUUGCCAACCAGCCCUCGGAGGAACAGCAAGAGGAAGCUGGCUGUCAUCCCAGGAAGUCAUCUGACCUCUGGGCUUAGCGAACACAGGAAAGUAACCAGAUACUCAUAAAGCCAGUGUAUGUGCCUGGAACAACAUCCAACUUCCUGUUUUGUUUUCAGUCGUGAAGACUUACUACUCCAGCUAGACUUGUGAGUCUCUCAUGGCACAGUACCGCAGACUGGGUGUUACAAACUACAGGAACUUGUGUUCUCAGAAUGAUGAAGGCUAGAACCCAGAAUCAAGAUGUCAUCAGCCUCCAAGCCACAUUGAAACUGAAGAUGAUGUGGAACGUCUGAUGCUUUUGACACCUUUUCUAUUCUGUCAGUGUGAACGACUCCACUUGGUUUCAUGAACUCUUGGGAAAUCAAAACCAGAACUUCAUGCAUGCAAGACAAUCAUUCAGUGAAUUUAACUGUAACUAACUCCUAUAUUAGCAAUGUUUGCACCCUUAAAUAUUUCAAAUAUUAUCCCAUAAGUCAAAUCAUAUUAUGUUUUACUAAAUAGAAACUAGCUAUUUCAAUAUCAGAGGAUCUUCUUGUUUGCAUUACUGGGUUAUGAUUUGUUUUCCUUCCUGCCAAUCUUUGUCAUUAUCCACUAAAGGCCAGUUAUCUAUCUCCACUUUGAUAAUAUGGGGUAUUAGUAUGUGAUUCACUAAGUUAAUGAAAUGUAUAUAAACAUAAUUAAAGAUAAAACAAAGGUUCA